rnacentral:lncRNA from 1 species
AGCAAACUAGCUGCCAGAUAAAAAUAUAUAAAUUCCACAUACGAUAUGACUACAUAGAUCCAAUACGUCCUAAUACCAAUCAAAAAUCAACAAGAGGUAUACAUACAAAAAACCAUGGUUAAUAACAUAUAGCAAAGCAAAUAGUGAGAAUUCGCCUAAUUACAUAUAGCAAAGCAAAUAGUGAGAAUUCGCCUAAUUACUACUACAUAGAGAUGUUAUGAUCUGAUCUAGACUACAUCAACGACCUAGAGGGUACUUUCCGUAAUCAUUGUCCCUCCGGCUGUUCCUGAACGCACAGCAGCCAAUGGAGUAAACGAUGAUAAGCACUAUGAGGAAGACAAU